CGGCAACAGCUCAAAUUUGAAAUCUGGCCCUCGGGUCCGAGUUGUAAUUUGCAGAGGAUGCUUUUGGCGCGGUGCCUUCCGAGUUCCCUGGAACGGGACGCCAUAGAGGGUGAGAGCCCCGUCUGGUCGGACACCAAGCC
rnacentral:rRNA from 1 species